UACGUAGGUGGCGAGCGUUGUCCGGAUUUACUGGGCGUAAAGAGCGCGCAGGCGGUCGUACAAGUCGCGUGUGAAAGCCCCCGGCUCAACUGGGGAGGGUCACGCGAUACUGUUCGACUCGAAGGCAGGAGAGGGUAGUGGAAUUCCCGGUGUAGUGGUGAAAUGCGUAGAUAUCGGGAGGAACACCAGUGGCGAAGGCGACUACCUGGCCUGUUCUUGACGCUGAGGCGCGAAAGCUAGGGUAGCAAAUGGG
rnacentral:rRNA from 1 species